CCGUCGCCGCCGCCGCCGCCCAGGCGCUCCGCUGGCCGCGAUCGGCUCGGCAAGCUCCCAGGCCGGCUCGGGCCCUGCUCUCGCGCCCACCGAACGCUCCGCCCACCCUCUCUCCCUUAGGGGAGGGGCCGGCUCCGUCAGCGGCAGUGCCCGGCGGGAGACCCCGCCCACCUGCGCCUCCAGGCCGCCCUAGCCAGGAGGCGCCCCGCCCACCCCGAGGCCACAGGGGUUCCCCUGGUUGUGGGGGGGGGAGGGGGUUCCUUUUCCCAGGAAAGGGCUGUGAUCAGGUCACCGGGACGACGGUUACCCAGGCUGCCUGUCCCGCCCAGACACGCCCCUGGCUGUAGGCUUGGGGUUUCUGAUAUCCCUGAGGCUGUUUUCUGUCUGGACGUGUCAGAGACUCUAUCUCUUUGUACGUGUGUGUCUGUGUGUGUGGUUUGAUUAAACUAAGGCGGGUUGGGUUGAAGCCAUCGGCAAGCCCUGGCUUGAUAAAACCUGUGCAGAGGCACAGCGUCUUUCUCAGCGUCUUCCUUUGACCGCAGGCCUCAAACGGAACCCAGAAACAGAACUCUCCCAGCCCCGGGGACUCCUAGGAAAUAAACAGUGCUUUUCUGAUAAAGAUAUAAGCUUGGUGAACUCACAGACCAAGGCGGAGAAGAAAGGAAACGUUCGUCGCCUUUUGAGGACGUGCCAGCACUUAUCGAAGUGUUUUUUGCUUGCCGAAUCCUAUGUUCAGCACACCAAGGAUCCAGGGAUACCUACGACAAGAGCCUGCCCUCAACUCUGGUGGGAAGACAUAGAAAUGAACAGGUAUGGUGAGGUACAGCGAAACCAUCGGAGGGUUUGAUCAGAGGUCUGACAUGAGCUAAAUUAAGUUUUAACGUGAACAUCAUCGCUCUGCUUGCUGUGUAGACAAUAAACCUUAGGAGGGUAAGGGUGGGAGUCA
rnacentral:lncRNA from 1 species